GUUGGGCCCAAAUCUGAUCCAUGUGUGAGCCAGCUGAACUCAGGAGCGUUCCCAGGGAAGUGACGUUCCACAGCAGCGCCCCCCCGCCCCCCCAGCCUUGAGCCUCCCUGCUUGACACACUCAACUGGGGGCCACAGAGCAAAUUCCAAGACAGAGUUUCAAGAAUGAUGAUUCAGAGGCUCACAGAGGACAUUUACGGGUAAGAGCUUGCUUCAUCUCUAUGGCCAGAACCAGCCUGGGGACACAUGGCAGGUCCAAGGUCCAAACUGCCUGUGGAUCAGCCCAGGGGCUCCUGGGUUUUCCCAGCUACUUCGCGGGGCCAGAUCCUCACAGACAGCCUCUGCUCAGGGCUGACUGCUGCUGAACUUGACCCACGGAAUCCAGCUGUGCUUUUUCUCGCUUCCUCAUUCCUUCUGCUCUGGGAGCUCCAGCCUCAGGUGUGAGGCCCAUUUGGGACCAGCUGACAUUUACCCUUCAAGGAGCCUAUGGAAACACACACGUCCUAACUCCCUAUGCCAGCACCCAUGGCAGACAUUACUAAUCUAUUCUGGAUUCUCUGAUCUAUGCUGGCACCCAUGCAGAUAUUACUGAUUGAUCCUGAGAUUCUCUGACUACCCAAUAUAUGUGCCCCCAGGUGCAUGCAGUGGCUGGAGCUACUGUAAACAGUCUAAAAAACCAGGUUCUGGUAAGAGGAACGACAGAAGUGGCUGUCCGUGUUGGGAUCUGAGCUGGUGGGAAAGCCGUGGGGUCUUCAGAGGUGAGGCAGUGUCCACUGCAGGAAACAGAAGAAACUCUAGGGGAGGGGAUGAGCCCCAGACAGUAGCACCUCCUGCCUCAGUGUCCAGUGACUGUUCCCAGGGCACAUCCCAGCACACAGCUCUUUUGGGUUAAAGGCACACAAAGUCUCUCCCCAGCUGGGUCCUCGGGGGCAGUGGCUGGUCUACUUUGCCUUUGUAGCCCCCAUAUCUUCCACAUGGAGCUGGGCUCACAGGCACUGCCCGCAAAUCUUCCCUUGAGAGGCCCUGGCUUGACCUGAGGCUGUACCAUUUGCCAGAGAGGCCAGAGAAGUGGACUGCGCGGAUCCAGGUGGAGGGGCAGGCAAGAAACUCUUCAACUUGUACGAAAAUCAUUGUGUGAGUGCUAAGUGCCAUUCCUGUGAAUUAUACACAGAUUUAAUACAGUGGGAAAGGAAUCUCCUCCCUCCCUGCUCCGUCUCU
rnacentral:lncRNA from 1 species